GGGGGGGUCGAGAGAGGGAGAGGGGAAAGAGGAGUGAGGCUUGGUGGAAAUAGAAGAGAAGGGAGGGAGAGAAGCGUGGUGGUGGUUGUGGUAGCCUGUGGAAAGAAGCAAAUAGCGUAUAGCAGACCAAACUACACCCGGGCAAAAGCAGCCCGUAGCCAGAGUCAGCUUUACAGCCCCUAAAGGCGACCUGCAAUUUGUCGGUUUGCAUUUCUAUUUUCCCCUCAUCUUUUCCCUUUCCCCGUGUUGUGCUCGGCUGGAAGUGGGAUCGGGGGGGCUCUUCGAUGUAACUUACGGCCGCAUGACUUGGACUGCGUUUCAGUGGCUCUCAGCGGAUUACUAAACGUCUCCAGAGCACUGCCCGGGAAUAGCGAUAUUCAGCACUCUGGACGGCGAAUAAGCACUCGAGGCCGCUGAGUGGCUGGCACGUGGCAAGGACCAGGAAGAGGAGGAGGGGGGAGAGGAUGGAUCUUCAGCCCAGAGUGAGAGCCUCUCCCCGGGGAAGCCGACGCCGGACGCAAGGCCUCAUGGGCCGUUGACCCCGCUGUCUCAGUGAUUUAUGGGGCGCUGGGGCAACCGGCCUGCGCAGACUCCUCCACCUCCUCUCUCAACCCCCCGUUCACAUCCACUGCAUCCACACACACUGCGUCACUGUAUCCAGCACGGAUUGAUUCCUGUGCACUCGGGACACACACUGCUCGACACUACACGAGACGCCGUCAACCAAACGCCAAUGCAUCGCACCUUCGACGGCCCAGCGCACCGCUACCUGCCCCGUCUCUCCUGGAGCGUGUGGACGGCGGCCGAGCGCGAGCCAUGAGGCGUCUGCUGUAGCCAUGUCAGCCGCGAGCUGCUGCUGCUCAGGGAUCCGCUUGGAUCGAUGGAAGUGCGCCGAGUAACGAGGUGACGUUCCCGCUUUCCUCUCGCCCAGAGAAGCAUCGGCAGCCAGCAGCGAUCUCCUCCUUUCCAGAUCCACACACACACACACACACACACACACACACACACACACACACACACACACACACACACACACACAGACACACACACACACACACACACAGACACACACACACACACACACACACACAGACGCAAACACAC